GCACGGCGGCGGCCCGGCCCUGCCCUUCCCUCAGCGCGCCUCAGCCGAACGGCAGCGCCGGGCGCCGCCCCUGCCCAGAGCCGCGGGGGUUGAGCAAUGCCCGCGCCGGCCGGAGCUGUGGGCAGGGCAGUUCGUGCCCCGGAUCCCCUCGGCACACCGGGAGUGCCGCGAUGCGCUGCGGGAGAAACAACCGGCCCGGGGGGUUGGCGGGGCGAGCCCGGCCGCGGGGCUGCUUCCUGCCGGGCGCACUCGGGCGGAGGACUCGCUUUGUUUCAGGGCCGGGUUUCCUCAGAGCUCCAUCCCGGAGCCCUGCAGUACAGCCAGGCUGUGCUCAGUGCCGCCGGGCCGCACGGAGGAGCCAUGCCGGCCCGGCCAGCAGCCCCCAUUGCAACAUCCCAGAGGAAGUGUUUGGGCCGCAGGCGCGUCCCAGAUUUCCAAAGCAGCACGGGCGAUAAGCAGAUGCCUUUUUCUUGUGACACGGCUGCUCUGCCUAUGCCCCAGCUUUGGCCAGGCCCCCGGCCGCGAGAGGAGCGCCCAGGCCGAGCGCUGGUGCGGACUUCUGCCAUGGUUCACCUCUCACUGCACCUUGGUGCUUUCAGUUUGGUGUUUUCCUUAAGGACCUGCAACGCGGCCCCUUGGUUGGCUGGCUGAGAAGAUGCUGACCCUGUUGGACCGCAAGCUUCUACAGCAGCUCAUCCUUCCAGUGCAGGAAUCACAGGCUCUGCUGGAGCCCAUGCAGGGUUUGUCCAGUGCAAGUCAUUAGUCUCAGAAAUAUGGGGUGAAUUCCCACUUUUUCAGGAUGCGAACAACAGAGGCAGGUUUGGAGGAAAUGUCUUCCAUCAGAAGUGUCUGUCCUUUGCUUUCAUCACUUACAGUCAAAGCAUGAAAGCUCAUUAGGCGUGAUUUGGCUAUUUCCUGUUCAGGCUGUCAACUAAAGAGGCAGCAGAGCAGCAUUGCUGGAGCAUGUGGUGGUCUCAUUAUCUCAGUGAGGGAAACACUCUGCAACAGAACCCUCACCCCCUCCUUGCUCAUGGUGUUUAAACUAAAUGGUUUUAAAUGAAAAGAGGGUCAGUUUAGGUUAGAUAUCAGAAAGAAGUUUUCUGCAGUGAGGGUGGCACAAGAUGCCCAGAAGAGCUGUGCUUGCCCUAUUCCUGGAGAUGUUCAAGGUGAGGUUGGAUGGAGCUUUGAGCAACCUGGUCUAGUGAAAGGUGUCCCUGCCCAUGGCAGGGGGCUCGAAGAAGAUGACCUCUAAAGUUUCCUUCUAACCCAAACCAUUCUGUUACAUUGGUAUUGCAUAAGUUACUGACAGCUUCAUCUGCUGGACCACCAUCACUGCACCUCCAGGUUUGGGGUGUCCCUGACACCUGUCUCCACUCACAGUCUUGCCAGACCCCAGGACGCGGCUUUACUCAUGAUUCCCACCCUGGGCCCAAGGUGCUGCAGAGCUCUGCUCUCAGUUUCUCACUUGCAAUACUCUUCGUGCCAAUGUUGAUUGCAGAUUCUUUACCAUGUGUGUGCACAUCCUUCUUUAGACCACAACUGGAAAAACUGUGGGGUGGUUCCUGCUCAGGGUCUCCUUAACUGCAAACCCACAAACUGCUUCCAUUUCUCUUGGUACCUUCUUCAAAAGCACAGCACUUUUGUAAUACCCUGCUAGCGUGAGACCUAGUGAUGGUUCACAAAGUAACAAAUACUACAGUAAUAGUUUAUAGAAAAGAAAACACUUUUACUGCAAAGGCAAUUUUGCAAAUUUUGGUAGCAAUGAAAUCCAACCAUUCCAAUGCAAUGGACUGCCAUGGAAAAUGUCUGCCACUGGCAAAGGCUCUGGAAAAAAAAAGUAAGUCACUUUUUUAUCAAAAAGGUAGUGAGAUAUCUGUUGGUACAACCUAUGGCUUUUAAUGUGCUGGUAUGUCACUGAGAGUGUCCCUGAUGCACACAGGGGAGGUAAGGGCACUUAGAGGGCAGCUCCACUCAGCUUUCUAGAAAAGUCAAAGGUUCCUGGUUCCACUUGUGGAGUCACUUCAUAUGCAGCAAUUGUAUUACCUUGCAAGAUUGUUUUUGGUGUCAGGGUUUUUCUGGAAGUCAGUGUGCUUCCUAUAGGCCAAGCAGGCCACUGCAGGAAUUUCAUUGUGUUUCCCUUUUUAAUGGAAAUUGCAAAUACAUUUCCAGACACAGCUCUGGAAAUACCCCAACAGCAGCCUCUAUCACCUCUUCAGUGUUUAGGAUUGAGCAGUGCCUGUGUCUCAGCUUUCACCUACAUGGAGUGAAAUGCCUAAAAAUGUUAAGAAAUUGCGUCUGCCUUAAUGUCAUCACUGCUAUCCUACCUAAUAAAUAUUUUCCUAAAAAAACCUCAUUCCUCUCUCUCUGAGGAAGACUAUUUCCAUGGAGGUAAGCAGUGAUAGGUAAGUGGUAUUUGUGUACUUGGUGACAUCUGUUUUAUUGGGCGGAGCACUCGAUAACUUGCAUCACCCUCUGAUUCAUACAAUCAUCUGACCUUCAUCUAACUGCUGCUCUGCUUUUAUUUCCUUUUCUCCUUACGAGUUACAGUAAAGGAAAUUCUUCCUGUGCUCCAUACACAAUGCUUCCUUUCAUUCAAGGUUUGGUUGUGCUUUUAGCAUUUAAAAAAACAACCAGUAUAACCAUCUACUGAAAUAGCACAGGAUCAAGUCACACGUUCCUCUCCCUUCACAUUUAGCCUCCCCACAGAUUACACGCACUCCAGGAGUUGCUGUACUUUGGGCACAGCCUUCUCUCCUGGCUGAAAUCCCAGCUGGGAGAUGCUGCAGCCCCUCAGGGUGGGUCUGUGGGGUUUGCUGUGAGGGUUCCUCCCUGUUGGGUGUAUGGACAAGUAAGCAGGUCUUCCAGGAGGAGUCUAAUUCUGCUGGCUCUGUCUGAUGCUGUACCUUCAGCUCCUGCUCUGCCCUGGUGUGGCUGUUCCUCUGGGUACCCACUUGUGUCCCUCCCUUGCAGCUGAGGAAGGACAGCCAUCUCUCUGGAGCAACUUUCUGAAGCAUGAAGGAGACAGUUUGUCCUGUUAUGCUGCUGUCAUCAUGUGAGCAGGCUGUAUGCUUCUGCAUUUGAAGACUAAAACUGAAUGCUGAAAACAGGAACUUUCUGGAAAUUCCGCAUGCCUGAAAUGUAAUGGUUUCAGUGAGUUUCCUGAUAUCAUCUCAUCCAUGUGGUUGUGCUUGGAUGGGGGAACUAAACAUGUCAUUAGCUCUGUAGGGUCACUAAAAUUUGAAGAAGAGAUCAUAAGGAAUCUUAAGGAUGCGUGACAUCCUGCGAAGACAGAUGAUAAAAGCAACUACACUUGACAGUGAGCCCUUCAAGGCGAGGCAACCCAGUUAAGAGCAUGGAGGAACUGAGCUCUUGCUAACUCAUGUCAGCAGGAGUUGUUUAUCCCCUCUUCAUCAAAAAAAUCAGACUGACAGCAUUGAAAGUGACUAAAACCAGAGGAUGAUACAGGGAAUUUUGGCCUUCAUAACUUUGCAAUGACUUCACUGAUCAUUCCUGGCUCCCAGACCUGGCCUGAUUCUACUAAACUGUGCAACAUUUAUUCGUAAUCAAAUUAUAGUUUAUACACAGGCACAAAAACACAAACACAGAGACAUGUAUCUUCCUACAAACACAUCAAAUGUCUGCAAACAAAGCUGAAAGCUGACCUGAUGCUGGCUGAAUUGUCACUGUAGUCUAAGCUACAAUAGUAAAAUGCGUGGUUGCAAAGAAUCCUAACAUCAGCAGCAGGAGAAUGGUAAGAAAUGCAGGUCUUUCCCAGCCUUGGUCUCGAUUCAAAUGCUGUAAUAUUUCUUGUAGGAUUUCACAAAUAAGUAGAGUGUAUUUGAUUGCAUAAAACAGUGAAAUUGCCUGUCAGGCGUUUAUUCAGAGUUUCUUAAUCUAGAUGAUUUCCAGUUAAGAGAAAGUCUAGACCGUUGGCCUGUUCUUUGGCAGAAGAGAAGUUUUUUAUUAUUUUUUCACAUGCUCGGAGAAUUACUCAAUUUACUAAAAAAGGGGAAGGACUGAGAUCCUAUUUACUCUAAUUUUUAUAAUAUUUAAACUGGCUGCUCUCUCUAGGCAUACCUUGUGCUUUUACCAGCUCAACAUUGUUGAUCAAAGUGUUCUCCAGUAACAAAUGCCACAGAUACACAGAAUGGUCACAUUGAGUUAUGCAAGUGUUUGGCUUUUUGCCUCUGAAAAUAGCUACUCAGUAGAAAAAUACAAAUCCCGUUGCAUGUUCUCUCUGGGUUAUAACAGGUCACAGACAAAAUCCUCACCGUUUGUGAAAUCUUCUUGCAGUUUAUAGUUGUACAACUUUUUACAUCUGUGAAAAAUUAAUGGAAGUAAUAUAACUGAUACCAAAUUAC